UAGGGAAUAUUGGUCAAUGGGCGAGAGCCUGAACCAGCCAUGCCGCGUGCAGGACGACGGCCUUCUGGGUUGUAAACUGCUUUUAUACAGGAAUAAAAAGGGCCUGCGGGCUUCAUUGCAUGUACUGUAUGAAUAAGCACCGGCUAACUCCGUGCCAGCAGCGGCGGUAAGACGGAGGGCGCUAGCGUUGUUCGGAAUCACUGGGCGUAAAGGGCGCGUAGGCGGCUGUUUAAGUCGAGGGUGAAAGCCCGGGGCUCAACCCCGGAACGGCCUUCGAGACUGGGCAGCUCGAGACCGGAAGAGGAGGGUGGAAUACCCAGUGUAGAGGUGAAAUUCGUAGAUAUUGGGUGGAACACCAGUGGCAAAAGCGGCUCUCUGGUCCGGAUCUGACGCUGAGGCGCGAAAGCGUGGGGAGCAAACAGGAUUAGAUACCCGGGUAGUCC
rnacentral:rRNA from 1 species